rnacentral:rRNA from 1 species
UACGUAGGGGGCAAGCGUUGUCCGGAUUUAUUGGGCGUAAAGAGCGUGUAGGCGGCCUGAAAGGUCAGCUGUGAAAACUCGAGGCUCAACCUCGAGACGUCGGUUGAAACCAUCUGGCUAGAGUCCGGAAGAGGAGUGUGGAAUUCCCGGUGUAGCGGUGAAAUGCGUAGAUAUCCGGAGGAACAUCAGUGGCGAAGGCGGCCAUCUGGAUCAACACUGACGCUGAGGCACGAAAGCUAGGGGAGCAAACAGG